AAAAACAUCUCCUUAUGAUUUAGUAUAAGGUAUAGCCUGCCCUAUGAAUUAUUUUUAAAUGGCCGCGGUAUUUUGACCGUGCGAAGGUAGCAUAAUCAUUAGUCUCUUAAUUGGAGGCUGGUAUGAAUGGCUGGACGAGAAAGUUUCUGUCUCUAUUGUAAAGUUUGAAUUUUAUUUUUAAGUGAAAAAGCUUAAAUGUUUUUGAGGGACGAUAAGACCCUAUGGAUCUUUAUAUGAAUUAAUGGUAAAAAGUCUAGUAGUUACGGCUUAUGAUUAAUAAAUAUUGUGUUGGGGCGACUGAAAGAAAUAAUGAUCUCUUUUUAAUAAUAAAUAUAAUUUUAUAGAAAUAUAAUGACCCUUAAUUUUGGUUUAUAAGACUAAGUUACCCUAGGGAUAACAGCGUAAUUUUUUCAGAGAGUUCUUAUCGAUGAAAAAGUUUGCGACCUCGAUGUUGGAUUAAGAUAUCCUUACGGCGCAGCUGUUGUAAAGGAAAGUCUGUUCGACUUUUAAAUUCUUACGUGAUCU
rnacentral:rRNA from 1 species